rnacentral:rRNA from 1 species
AUUGAACGCUGGCGGCAGGCCUAACACAUGCAAGUCGAGCGCGCGGCGGACGGGUGAGUAAUGUCUGGGUAACUUCCUGUUGGAGGUGGAUAACUCCUUGAAACGGUAGCCAAUACCCCAUAUCAUCAGAUGUGCCCAGUUGGGAUUAGUUAGUUGGUGGGGUAACGGCUCACCUAGGCGACGAUCCCUAGCUGGUCUGAGAGGAUGAACAGCCACACUGGAACUGAGACACGGUCCAGACUCCUACGGGAGGCAGCAGUGGGGAAUAGUGCACAAUGGGCGCAAGCCUGAUGCAGCCAUGCCGCGUGUGUGAAGAAGGCCUUCGGGUUGUAAAGCACUUUCAGCGGGGAGGCGUUACCCGCAGAAGAAGCACCGGCUAACUCCGUGCCAGCAGCCGCGGUAAUUC